GUAUGAGUCCGGAGAAUACUUGCGAUAAUUAUGGCACGGUUUUAGAAUCAGGAAAGUUUUACGUAGCCUCAUUUACCUCCAAGCAGUUCUACCCGAAAGGCAUGAUCUGCUCAAAGUAUAACGAAAAUGUUACUGCAGUGAUCAACGAUUUUGUUGGAGAAAAUGGUGGAUACUGCUUCUCCUCUAGAAAGAAUAGCAAUAUCACUCAAGGCUGUACCCCCGACAAAUUUUCUAAACAAAAUGGGAUUAGCGUUC